GAAUAUUGGACAAUGGGGGGAACCCUGAUCCAGCCAUGCCGCGUGUGUGAAGAAGGCCUUUUGGUUGUAAAGCACUUUAAGCGAGGAGGGGGCUACCCUAGUGAAUACCUAUAGAUAGUGGACGUUACUCGCAGAAUCAGCACCGUCUAACUCUGUUCCAGCAGCCGCGGUAAUACAGAGGGUGCAAGCGUUUAUCGGAUUUACUGGGCGUAAAGCGCGCGUAGGUGGCCAAUUAAGUCAAAUGUGAAAUCCCCGAGCUUAACUUGGGAAUUGCAUUCGAUACUGGUUGGCUAGAGUAUGGGAGAGGAUGGUAGAAUUCCAGGUGUAGCGGUGAAAUGCGUAGAGAUCUGGAGGAAUACCGAUGGCGAAGGCAGCCAUCUGGCCUAAUACUGACACUGAGGUGCGAAAGCAUGGGGAGCAAAC
rnacentral:rRNA from 1 species